AACGAACGCUGGCGGCAGGCCUAACACAUGCAAGUCGAGCGAAGCCUUCGGGCUUAGCGGCGGACGGGUGAGUAACGCGUGGGAACGUGCCCUUUGGUACGGAAUAGCCCCGGGAAACUGGGAGUAAUACCGUAUGUGGUCGAGAGACGAAAGAUUUAUCGCCAAAGGAUCGGCCCGCGUUGGAUUAGGUAGUUGGUGGGGUAAUGGCCUACCAAGCCGACGAUCCAUAGCUGGUUUGAGAGGAUGAUCAGCCACACUGGGACUGAGACACGGCCCAGACUCCUACGGGAGGCAGCAGCGGGGAAUCUUAGACAAUGGGGGAAACCCUGAUCUAGCCAUGCCGCGUGAUCGAUGAUGGCCUUAGGGUUGUAAAGAUCUUUCAGUGGGGAAGAUAAUGACUGUACCCACAGAAGAAGCCCCGGCUAACUCCGUGCCAGCAGCCGCCGUAACAC
rnacentral:rRNA from 1 species